rnacentral:rRNA from 1 species
CUCCUUUGACGUUAGCGGCGGACGGGUGAGUAACACGUGGGUAACCUACCUAUAAGACUGGGGUAACUUCGGGAAACCGGAGCUAAUACCGGAUAAUAUUUCGAACCGCAUGGUUCGAUAGUGAAAGAUGGUUUUGCUAUCACUUAUAGAUGGACCCGCGCCGUAUUAGCUAGUUGGUAAGGUAACGGCUUACCAAGGCGACGAUACGUAGCCGACCUGAGAGGGUGAUCGGCCACGCUGGAACUGAGACACGGUCCAGACUCCUACGGGAGGCAGCAGCU